rnacentral:lncRNA from 1 species
ACACAAGAAGACUGAGUUCCAUCGAGGCUCUGACAUGCCUCAGCCCAGAAGUGCAGGGCUGAGAGCAGGAAAGCGGUGCCCACUGCCUGGUCACAUCCAGGGAAGUCCUACUCAGACCCUCCCUCCCUUAGACACAAGACAGCGGGCUUCCCCCAACAGAUUCACUUGGAGACCUAACCUGCUCCCACAAGAGCAAAGCCUUUGCUUUCUAAUUAUAGUCUCCCCAAAUAGAAAAAGACCAUGUCAGAGGAGUUCUUUCCAAGGGAAAGAAUUACAGACGGUUUAGUCCAGAAACAGUAUUUUCACUGAAGAGCAAAAUGCAUUGUGGAGAGACAAGGUGACCACAUACAGUCACGGACAUUUAAGACCCUCAGAAUUCAUGAGUUACUGCUCCACCCCAUGAAGCGUAAACAGAAGAGAGCUCAGCGCGUGAUGGAGACACACCAGCUUUGCCCUCUGUGUCCUCACGCCCCCUUCGCCUCUUUCUGGUUAGAAAAAUUGAAAUUAUGUAAUUAACACUGAAUGACACUCGCCGCAACUUUCAAAAAGUACACAACACAAGCAGAUUGUCUAAGAGCGUGCUUCAUAGAAUCUGCACAUUGACACACUGCUGAGGACAAGCCAGGAGGGUGAGCUCUGUCGUCCCUGCAAAUAACACUUCAUCACCGUUAGGAGCUUGGCCCCUCCAGCAGAAGGACACUUCAUGAGAUGGACACUCGGCUUCUCUCAGCAAAGCCAGGCUUGUCUGUUUCCCCUGCAACCCUCGGAGGUGGGCAAGUGUCUUUAGAUAGGGGGAGCUUGGAAGUGAAAUUGACGGAGGGGCUGGAACCCCAGGAGAAGGAAAUAAAUGCUGAGUUCCCACUGCCUCCCGUUAACCUUGGCAAAGACCGAGCCACACUGGGCUCAUGCUCAGGCAUCCAUCCGCGUGACCUGAGGGUGGAUCAGGAGCAGGUCCAAGACCCGUCCAGUCCAGCUGAGCACUGUGGAGAUCCGCAUUGUGGAGACCGCCACCUGGGGUCCCCACCCCUAGGCGGAGGGACCACCCUGGCCACAGAGCUCUCAGGGACCUCUGCUUUCUCGGGCACCAGAGGCACCCAGGGACGGGGGCAGGGUCCUGCAGUCAGGGGCCACCUCUGGGACGCCUCUGAUGCCGUCUGGGGUGAUGCUGAGCCCUGGGGGCACGUGGCAGGUGAAGGCUCUUCAGGUCUUCUUUUAGAGGCCCCGCAACCUCUGGCCCGGUGUGUCAUCCCAGCCGGGUUGAGGCCCUACCGGAUUUUACAAAGUGCCACCUUCUGGGAAGACCAGCAGGGUGUGGCUCUGAUAAACUACUCUUUUCUAGGUUCCUGA